GAUUCUGUAGUCUAGUGGUUAGGAUACUCCCCUUCCAUGAGGGAGUGACACGGGUUCGAAUCCCGUCAGUAUCA
rnacentral:tRNA from 1 species